CGGAACGUAGCUCGUUGGCAGGAGCUUUCAAGCGUGUGCUAAUUCACGAAAUCUUAAGAUGGAAAGUCGGGGGUUCGAAUCCUUCCGUUCCGA
rnacentral:tRNA from 1 species